rnacentral:piRNA from 1 species
CAAGCAGUUAUGUAUAAAACGGUCUCAACUC